CUGGUGGGCGACCUAGAACUUAAAUGUAUACCCGCAUUAUACUGGUGGGCGACCUAGAACUUAAAUGUAUUCCCGCAUUAUACUGGUGGGCGACCUAGAACUUAAAUGUAUUCUCGCAUUAUACUGGUGGGCGACCUAGAACUUAAAUGUAUUCCCGCAUUAUACUGGUGGGCGACCUAGGACUUAAAUGUAUUCCCGCAUUAUACUGGUGGACGACCUAGAACUUAAAUGUAUUCCCGCAUUAUACUGGUGGGCGACCUAGAACUUAAAGUAUUCCCGCAUUAUACUGGUGGGCGACCUAGAACUUAAAUGUAUUCCCGCAUUAUACUGAUGGGUGACCUAGAACUUAAAAGUAUUCCUGCAUUAUACUGGUGGGCGACCUAGAACUUAAAAGUAUUCAAAUUGCUUCCCCGUUCUUCCGAGAAAAUUUUCGACAAUCGGCAGAAAAUUUUCUUCCCCGGUUUUUGGUGGCUUCCCUGGCGUUGCAUCUCGCUGUCAUCAUCAAUCCUUUGUUUUCCUGCAGCAGACAAAGGGAUUUAAUUAGUUUUUUCGUG
rnacentral:lncRNA from 1 species